GGACUACUGGGGUAUCUAAUCCUGUUUGCUCCCCACGCUUUCGCGCAUCAGCGUCAGUAACGGGCCAGUGAGUCGCCUUCGCCACUGGUGUUCUUCCGAAUAUCUACGAAUUUCACCUCUACACUCGGAGUUCCACUCACCUCUCCCGUACUCAAGAUGUCCAGUAUCGAAGGCAAUUCCAGGGUUGAGCCCUGGGCUUUCACCCCCGACUUAAACAUCCGCCUACGCGCCCUUUACGCCCAGUAAUUCCGAGCAACGCUAGCCCCCUUCGUAUUACCGCGGCUGCUGGCAC
rnacentral:rRNA from 1 species